UACGGAGGGUGCAAACGUUGCUCGGAAUCAUUGGGCGUAAAGCGCGCGUAGGCGGCUUUGUAAGUUAGAGGUGAAAGCCCGAGGCUCAACCUCGGAACUGCCUUCGAUACUGCGGGUCUCGAGUCCGGGAGAGGUGAGUGGAAUUCCUAGUGUAGAGGUGAAAUUCGUAGAUAUUAGGAAGAACACCAGUGGCGAAGGCGGCUCACUGGCCCGGUACUGACGCUGAGGCGCGAAAGCGUGGGGAUCAAACAGG
rnacentral:rRNA from 1 species